rnacentral:rRNA from 1 species
CCUACGGGUGGCUGCAGUGGGGAAUAUUGCACAAUGGGGGAAACCCUGAUGCAGCGACGCCGCGUGAGCGAGGAAGUAUUUCGGUAUGUAAAGCUCUAUCAGCAGGGACGAAAGAAGACGGUACCUGACUAAGAAUCCCCGGCUAACUACGUUCCAGCAGCCGCGGUAAUACGUAGGGGGCAAGCGUUAUCCGGAUGUACUGGGUGUAAAGGGAACGUAGACGGAAAGGUAAGCCAGAAGUGAAAGGGCAGGGCUCAACCCUGGAAAUGCAUUUGGGACUGUGGGGCUAGAGUGCAGGAGAGGUGAGUGGAAGUCCUAGUGUAGCGGUGAAAUGCGUAGAUAUUAGGAGGAACACCAGUGGCGAAGGCGGCUUACUGGACUGUAACUGACGUUGAGGCUCGAAAGCGUGGGGAGCAAACAGGAUUAGAUACCCGUGUAGUC